rnacentral:rRNA from 1 species
GAUGAACGCUGGCGGCGUGCCUAAUACAUGCAAGUCGAGCGAACGGACGAGAAGCUUGCUUCUCUGAUGUUAGCGGCGGACGGGUGAGUAACACGUGGAUAACCUACCUAUAAGACUGGGAUAACUUCGGGAAACCGUAGCUAAUACCGGAUAAUAUUUUGAACCGCAUGGUUCAAAAGUGAAAGACGGUCUUGCUGUCACUUAUAGAUGGAUCCGCGCUGCAUUAGCUAGUUGGUAAGGUAACGGCUUACCAAGGCAACGAUGCAUAGCCGACCUGAGAGGGUGAUCGGCCACACUGGAACUGAGACACGGUCCAGACUCCUACGGGAGGCAGCAGUAGGGAAUCUUCCGCACUGGGCGAAAGCCUGACGGAGCAACGCCGCGUGAGUGAUGAAGGUCUUCGGAUCGUAAAACUCUGUUAUUAGGGAAGAACAUAUGUGUAAGUAACUGUGCACAUCUUGACGGUACCUAAUCAGAAAGCCACGGCUAACUACGUG